rnacentral:sRNA from 1 species
UAUACUCGUUCUCGAGCUGAUCGGAGC